rnacentral:lncRNA from 10 species
GGCAUGUACAUUAUAUUAGGCUGUUCUUGUACUGCUAUAAAGAAAUACCUGAGACUGCAUAAUUUAUAAGAAAAAGAGGUUUAAUUGGCUCAUCUCUCUGCAGGCUAUACAGGAAGCAUGGCCUAGGCAGCUGGUCAGCUUCUGGGGCAGCCUUAAGGAGCCUUUAGUCAUGUUGGACGGCAAAGCUGGAGCAGGCAUGUCACAUGAUAAAAGCAGGAGCAAGAGAGAAGAGAAGGUGUCACACUUUACAACAACCAGGAUUCUUAACACUGUGGACCACCUCCUUUUUCUAAACUACCACGAGUUUUAAGAGUGGGAAUAGAAAUGUGAAAUGGGAAGACGAAAAUACUAUUUGGAACAUUGAUGUGAAGGAGAACAGUGAUGCAGCUGUAGAAGGUUGCAGACUAAAUAUCAUGCAGAAUUUGGAUUCCUGGCUCAUUUGUUUUUCCAUCAUACUCCUGUUGGAUUUUUCUCCUAAGAAACAGAAAGACAUGAGAUUGAAGAAGUUAAUUGUUCAACCCAGGUUAUACAUGAAUGGUAUUCCCAAGAAAUUAGAGAAAAUAUCAACAAACUCCUAUAGCAUGCCAGGAAAUCAACCAAUCCAAAUUGAGGCAGAAGGCUGGCAAUUCAAGGAAAGAGAUCUCAAAAAAAAAAAAAAAAAAAGUGGAUAGAUUCCUUGGGAUAUAUAUUGCAUGUUAGGGGAGUUUAAACUUCUGACAAAGAUUUGAGGAUGAAUGAAAAGACUAAGUAAAUAAGAAUUAAUUUAGUUACCAACUCCAACAUGAUAAUGAUAAAAGAAGGGAAAUGUGAUGAGGUUACAUGUUACAGAGUAUCUGUAAAUAAAACUUACAAAGAUGAAAUAACAUAAAUCUCAAUUAUUAUUUAAAAAUAAUAAUGCAAUAAAUCUGGUAAGCUGUGGGACUCAGAGGAUUUUGUGUGUUUAUGUGUAUUUGCGUGUUUGUGAAUUUAUUUUUGUGUACAAAAUGUGGAGCAUGAAUAAGAGCUAAAGAUUCUUCCUAUAUUUAGUAAGUCAACAAAUUAGAACUCAGAAAGUAAGGAAAAACAAUAAAAACAUGACAGUUAAUAUCUAUACAAAUAUAAAAAAACAGCUAAAGUGUUAAAAAUAAUUUGCUUCUCUAAGAGAGGCAUUAAGGAUGAAUAUUUGACUUUAAUCCUUUGUCUAAGGAUUCCAGAAAAAAAUCAACAUCUAAAAUGAUAUACAAUAAAUAUCCUAUCCAUAAAUAUUCUCAUCUAUAUUCCAUGUGCUUAUUCUUGCUUUUUUCUUUUUCUUUUUUUGAGACAGAGUCUCACCCUGCUGCCCAGCCUGGAGUGCAGUGGCACAGUCUUGGAUCACUGCAACCUCCACCUCCACCUAGGUUCAAGCGAUUCUUGUGUCUCACCCUCACGAGCAGCUAGGCUUACAGGCAUGCAACACCAUGCCCAGUUAAUUUUUGUAGUUUUAGUAAAGACGGGAUUUUACCAUGCUGCCAGGCUUGUCUCAAACCCCUCUCCUCAAGAUUUGCUAUCUUGAGUGAGAAAUGAUUUGUUUGCCUAAACUAGAUUCUGUUAAUUUAUGUAAUAAUUAAAUUGGUGUAAUUUGGAUCUUUUAACCUGAUUUAUUUUUUUUGACAGAAUGGUCAGUAAAGACAACCAUCAUAUGAUAUAUAUUUAGCCUUUACAUCAUUUUAUGAAAAUAUUUGCAUUUACAGUAACCUUACUGGCACUAAACUAUAGACAUAGAAAUAUUUGCAUUAGUAUCUCC